CCUACGGGAGGCAGCAGUGGGGAAUUUUGGACAAUGGGCGCAAGCCUGAUCCAGCAAUGCCGCGUGAGUGAAGAAGGCCUUCGGGUUGUAAAGCUCUUUUGUCAGGGAAGAAACGGUGAGGGCUAAUAUCUCUUGCUAAUGACGGUACCUGAAGAAUAAGCACCGGCUAACUACGUGCCAGCAGCCGCGGUAAUACGUAGGGUGCAAGCGUUAAUCGGAAUUACUGGGCGUAAAGCGUGCGCAGGCGGUUUUGUAAGUCUGUCGUGAAAUCCCCGGGCUCAACCUGGGAAUUGCGAUGGAGACUGCAAGGCUAGAAUCUGGCAGAGGGGGGUAGAAUUCCACGUGUAGCAGUGAAAUGCGUAGAGAUGUGGAGGAACACCGAUGGCGAAGGCAGCCCCCUGGGUCAAGAUUGACGCUCAUGCACGAAAGCGUGGGGAGCAAACAGAAUUAGAUACCCUGGUAGUCCACGCCCUAAACGAUGUCUACUAGUUGUCGGGUUUUAAUACUUGGUAACGCAGCUAACGCGUGAAGUAGACCGCCUGGGGAGUCGGUCGCGAAGNUUAAACUUAAAUUGAAUUGACCGGNGUUGNGAGNGCGAGACGACGACGAGGGAGGAGG
rnacentral:rRNA from 1 species